UAAUUUAUUUCUUUUUCUACCCAUUUCAAUCUCUGCUGCCACGUGUUUUAAUUACUGGUGCUUUCAGUUCUAAUCUCUAUGCACCUCGAAGAAAAAAUCCCUAAAAACUUGUUAAUUAAUCUCUCCUCCAUUCACUCAUAAAAAAUGGCGAGCACUACUUCUUAAGAUCCAAGAUUCAACAAAAAUCUACAAGAAAAAAAAGAAGAAAACGCAUCUGAUGAAGACACUGAAGCUCAGAUCGCGUAAAUUUUCAAGUUUGAAGAAGUCGACUUCUCCACCGGAGAAGAAGAAGAAUGACGCUAUUCUCGAUCUGAAAUCGAAGCUGCACCAAUUUGAUAAGUAAGGAAUCAAUGGAAGAAAAGAGGAGCAACAAGUAUGAAGCUAUUGAAUCAAAGAUUCUUAAGAUCUGUGCUAAUUAUUUAGAUCAUGACCCAAUGGAAUACCAUUCAUGUUGAACAAAUUGCUGCAUCAUCGGUGGCUCACCCAUGCUUUUUAUGCCAUUAAUUUAUACAACCAUACUAUUGUUGAGUAGUUGAGAUUGUGAUUUAUAUUUUUUGAGCAGUAAAAUUGUUGAUUUGUUUGCCACUAAGUUUAUGAAUUCUUGGAUGUUUAAUGCAGUGGGAAAACUACACAUGUACUGUUUUUUAGAUGUAUAAGAAAUAUUUUUGAGAUAUACUAUAUGACUUGUUUUUGAGAUA